CUUCCAAUAAACAUUCCGCCGCUACGAUUUUCCUACAGCACCUUAAACGAAGAUCAUUCUCGCCAGUUCAGUUCUCGAUCAAAGCUCAAACCAGCAACACCGAAUAAAGACUUUUUCCACAAACGUGUCCCGACUUAUUCUAAAUAAUCUAUUACGUAGCUAUACGCUCGUAACAGCGCGCACAGUGCUAUCAUCACGCUGCCCUCAUGACGUGAUGGAGACAUGCGUGAGGGCGCAAUGAGUCGCAUUACGCAGUCACGUUGUGAGCAUCACGCCGUGCGCGCACGAUGCUAUCAUUAUUUAAACUUAUUAUGCAUGUAUAUGAGGUAAUACUGUUUAAAGUUACCGCUUUGAAAAGCAUGAUUCGAAGAUUAUUACAAGGCGUUCCUGCAUUUUACCUACCUCGCAUUCGCGACGGUAGGGGGCUUCACAGUAGUAUGCCCUCUUCUUUCGCGACGAUAGUCGUCGGUGUCUUUCAGAAACAACGGGUUUUGAUACGAAGCAAAACGUGCAUCUCUAUACUCUUUCUUAAGGAUUGACGGACUGACGAGUCCCUGAUUCAGGAAUCUCAUUCGAUUCAUACGCUCGUAUCAAUUAUCAGAUAAUCGAUAAACAAUGUGAUGCACAAUAUGGUACACUGACUUGUGAGUGUCUACUAUGGGAGGAUCCUCACACUAUUCUCAUGUGUUUUAGAAAUUCUAUUAAAAAAAUGGAUAUAAGAACAUCCGAAUUUGUACGUACAUGGGAUUCUUCAAAAUAUUGCGCAUCAUCGUGUUUGUCAUCAGAUAAUCGGUACACUUUUAUGACGGGACAUGAUAUUUGUGUCCUAUGGGAUCAGAGACAGAGUGUUGCCGUUCAAACGUAUACUGUGGAACAAAGACUUGACAGAGAGAUAUAUGCUUUAGAAUUUGAUAACGCUCAUAUAUAUGCUGCUACAGAGUAUGGUCUUUUUGAAUUGAAUUUUACAGGAAGAGACCACUUUGACCACAAAGAAAUAAAAAAACUUUUUGGCAAUUUUUAUUAAAUAAAAGAAGUUGA
rnacentral:misc_RNA from 1 species